rnacentral:tRNA from 1 species
CAAAAUAAAGCUUAAAAGUUAAGUUUUUCAUUUACACUGAGAGGAUUUCUGUGCAAAUCAGAUUAUUUUGA